GCCAGUGUGGUUCAGUGGUAGAUUGUUCGCCUGUGCAACGAAGGAUUGCAGGUUCGAUUCCUGGUCAAGGGCA
rnacentral:tRNA from 1 species